GCAACACCAGACCUUCAGUCAAGACGUCACUCUCCUGAAUGCUGGGAAAGCAUUGAACAAGGAUUCAAAGAUCAGAGAGUUAAGGCCUUUCCUGGAUGAAGAUGGAUUGACGUGUGUUGGAGGCAGACUACAGGAAUCAGACUUCAGCUUUCGACAACAGCACCCAUGGAUUUUGCCUGCAAAGAACAGAUACUGUGAAUUGUUAAUUCAACAGAACCAUGAAAACCUGAUGCAUGCAGGCGUGCGAGAUACCCUUGUACAAUUAAGAGAAAGAUACUGGAUAAUGAGAGGGAGACAGCUGGUGAAGAGUGUUCUGUCAAGGUGCCAUGUGUGCAGAAGAUUCAAGGCGAAGCCUGCACAGCAGAUUACUGCUCCGCUGCCCCGUGACAGAAUCACAGAAUCCCCUCCAUUUGAAGUCACAGGUGUGGACUUUGCUGGGCCGCUAUAUGUCAAGGUUAGUGGUGCACUUACCAAGGCCUACAUCACAUUGUUCACCUGUGCUGUGACCAGAGCAGUCCAUCUGGAACUAGUCUCCAGUCAGUCGACAGAGCAUUUCCUGUUGGCUUUGAAAAGAUUUAUCGCUAGAAGGGGACUAUGUAAGGUGAUUUAUUCAGAUAACGCGAAGACAUUCAAGCGUGCUGACCAAGACAUGAAAGAACUGUGGAGAAGCAUCAAAGAUCCACAGCUCCUAGAAUACUUCUCACAGAGGGGUAUAAGCUGGCGAUUUAUCGCUGAACGAGCCGCCUGGUGGGGUGGUUUCUGGGAACGACUAGUCCGGUCAGUGAAAACCUGUCUGAGAAAGGUGUUAGGACGAGCUUCCCUCAGCUUUGAAGAACUGACCACCAUCCUCACAGAGGUGGAAGCCACCUUGAACUCCAGACCACUUACCUUUGUCAACAAUGACCCUGAUGAGCCGCAGCCGCUGACACCUGCCCAUUUCCUUGUGGGAAAAAGACUCACCUCCCUGCCACCGAAGCAGCUUCUAGCUGCCAGCGGGAAUAACACAACUUUGAACAGAGAGGAGAUGACCAAGAGAUGGCGUUACCGGCAGCGCCUCAUGACAAGUUUCUGGAGCAGCUGGAGAAAGGACUAUCUGUUGGACCUGAAGUCAGCUCAUCGCUGUGACACCCUGCAACCUACCUUAUUGAAGGUGGGCGACAUUGUUCUCCUUGGAGAUGACAACAUGCCACGACAGACCUGGAAGCUGGGAAGAGUUCAUGAACUGUUUCCAGGCCGUGAUGGGAAAGUGAGGUCCUGUGCAGUCCGCACAGCAUCAGGGACUUUACUGAGAAGACCAGUUCAACUGCUAUAUCCUUUGGAGACUGAGUGAUGAACUAUAGUUCAUCGGGGGGG
rnacentral:lncRNA from 1 species